rnacentral:snoRNA from 1 species
AUCCUCCAGAUACCUUACCCAGCAGAUCUAAACAUUGGUCUGAGGGCUAUAAAGGAGGAAAAGUAAACUGAAACAGACUGGGAUUCUUUUGUGACAUACAAGUUGGUUUCAAGCAAAC